AAUUUUGAAAGAAGUUUCUAUAAAACUAGUUUUAUAGAACUAUAAAAACUAUGACGGUCCACCAGAAAAAAAAUAAGUUUUUAAAG